CUCCAUCUCAAAAAAAAAAAAAAAAAAAAACAGACAGGAAGCAGAGAUGGGAUUUUCUCACCUACCUACAGCCCCUUCUUCCCAGUCAAACAGGACUCAGCCAGGGGCCCAUGUCUGCGGGCCACAGGAGGAGGCAGAAGAAGCAAAAGCAUUUCGUCAUUCCACAGUGGACACGUGGCAAAGACACCCUCUCUCCCUCAGAGUUUAUUGUUUGCAUCUCCUACCUUAACACAGGAUAGAAAUGUACUAUAAAUAUAGUAUACAGAUCACUAUACUGUAAAUGAAGUUGAGCCUCCCUCUUUUAUAAUCUUUCAUCUUAUACAGCACCCCUCCUGCAAUGUUUUUUUGUUGUUCCUGUUGUUUAAUGAAAAGGAUAAUUUGACAACAUGGAAAUCCCACGACUUCCAGUGUGUUUAUCCAGUCAUGUGUUGAUGGAUGUUUAGGUGGUUUUCACCUUUUGGCUAUUGUGAACAGCACUGCAAUGAACAUUCAGGUACCAGUUAUAUUUGAACACUGGUUUCUAAUUCUUUUGGGUAUAUGUCUGUGGGUUGGAUUAUGGGUCAUGUGGCAAUUUUAUGUUGGACUUUUUGAGACACCUUGGAGUUUUGCUUUUGCUUGGUAGUUGCUGCCUGGAGAUGACUGCAGUGUUGAGUCUUUGGCCCCAGGGCAUGGACCACCCUGAGGAGGGAGGGAGGAUUGGGGAGAAAGCCAGGAGGACCUCAGCCGGGCGCGGUGGCUCAUG